GAUGUGCAUGUUGAUGUGCCCUUUAGAUCUCUGUCUCCCUCUUGUGGCCUGGCUGAAACAAACACCAAUGAGCACUGGGACCAGUCUGAUGGGGGAGGACUUCCUAUCUAUGAAACCAUUCCACUCACAGAGCUGAACAGACCAGAAAGCCAACAACAGCAAUGCUCCAGUCAGGAAGUAGGCCAGGACCAAAACCAGCCUGGGGGAGGUGAAGGGGACCAGUCUGCCUACAUGCCACUACAGGGGGGUCAUGGAGAUGUCUAUGAGACAAUUACUGUGCAGGACUGAAAAAGAUACAAGUAUAGUAUAUUUAAAUGAUUUACUUAUUUUUUGCCAUAUUUUAAUUAAUUUCAAAAUAGUGCAG
ensembl:lncRNA